GGAAGGGCAGAUAGCUCUAUAUACACAAAGAGGAAGGUCUCAGUAGAGCAGCCUGUGUGUCUUCUCCGCUGCUGGAGCUCAUCUUGACUGGCCAGGGCUGGUUCCUAAGAAGGAUCCCAGGCACCCAGAGCCUCCUGGGUUUGGAUGUGAGAGGAAAGUCCUGUGACCUCCUUUGCCUCUCCCAUGUCUGGAGAGAAGCUGUAUUUCCGGCUAAUCCAGGAGCGACAGCUCCAGGGUGCACCCCAGGUUCUGACAUGGGGACUUGCAGGACCCCCCCAGGUUGGACCCUGAUGUGCCUGGCACCCCUUGUGAACCCAAGACCUCAACUUCAGCUUCUCCGCACAGCAGCCGUGGCCAGCUGUCAGCCGCCACCUCCUCCGAGAGGCUGGAAUUCCUCGGGCAGAUUUCUCACCCUCGCAGGACUUCCUUCCAGCGUGUCUGGCGACACCUCUCGCGGAACCCACCUCUGCGAGGGAGCCCUCAACUUCCUCCCGGCCUGACCUGCCUGCUCGAGGGUUUCCACGGUCACAAAGUUACCUCAGGGACUAGAAAAGAACCAUCUUUUUGGCCUGGAGCCUCUGAGGUGGG
rnacentral:lncRNA from 1 species